rnacentral:rRNA from 1 species
GACGAACGCUGGCGGCGUGCUUAACACAUGCAAGUCGAGCGGUAAGGCCUUUCGGGGUACACGAGCGGCGAACGGGUGAGUAACACGUGGGUGAUCUGCCCUGCACUUCGGGAUAAGCCUGGGAAACUGGGUCUAAUACCGGAUAUGACCUCCUAUCGCAUGGUGGGUGGUGGAAAGAUUUAUCGGUGCAGGAUGGGCCCGCGGCCUAUCAGCUUGUUGGUGGGGUAAUGGCCUACCAAGGCGACGACGGGUAGCCGACCUGAGAGGGUGACCGGCCACACUGGGACUGAGACACGGCCCAGACUCCUACGGGAGGCAGCAGUGGGGAAUAUUGCACAAUGGGCGAAAGCCUGAUGCAGCGACGCCGCGUGAGGGAUGACGGCCUUCGGGUUGUAAACCUCUUUCAGCAGGGACGAAACGCAAGUGACGGUACCUGCAGAAGAAGCACCGGCUAACUACGUG